rnacentral:rRNA from 1 species
ACAUGAUCUGAGUUCAGACCGGUCGCCUGUUUAUCAAAAACAUCGCCUCUUGCCCCAUUUUUGUAUAAGAGGUCCCGCCUGCCCUGUGAUUUUUUUAACGGCCGCGGUAUCUUGACCGUGCGAAGGUAGCGUAAUCACUUGUCUUUUAAUUGAAGACCCGUAUGAAAGGCAUCACGAGAGUUUAUCUGUCUCUAUUUUCUAAUCAAUGAAAUUGAUCCUCUCGUGCAGAAGCGAGAAUAAAAACAUAAGACGAGAAGACCCUAUGGAGCUUUAAACACCUAAGUUAUUAUUAAAACACCAAACCUCCCCUAUGGGGAUAAACAAUAAAUUAAUUUUUUAACUUAACUUGUUUUUGGUUGGGGCGACCAAGGGGUAAAACAAAACUCCCUUAUCGAAUGUGUGAAACAUCACUUAAAAAUUAGAACCACACAUCUAAUUAAUAGAAAAUCUAACGAACAAUGACCCAGGAAAUAUAUUAUCCUGAUCAAUGAACCAAGUUACCCUAGGGAUAACAGCGCAAUCCUUUCUUAGAGUCCCCAUCGCCGAAAGGGUUUACGACCUCGAUGUUGGAUCAGGACAUCCUAAUGGUGCAGCCGCUAUUAAGGGUUCGUUUGUUCAACGAUUAACAGUCCUACAUGAUCUGAGUUCAGACCGG